UCACUUUUUUCAAUGGAGAGGGGCGUUGGUACUUACCUGAUACGCCUGUUCUCGGUGAGCUGCGACGAGCAUCCAGAGAAUGGGAGGUGCUUAGUCUCUGCUUGGAUAGGCUGGGCUUAAUUGAAUAGGAUGCUGUUACUCCUCCCUGGCUCCACCCUAGCGUCCCCCAGUUUUGGCGAACACGAGGUGAUGCAACC